UAAUGCUAUAAAACAAAGGUCAAACUCAAAGCAACAGCUAGUUUUUCUUCUUUACACGAUAUAUUUCAUGUUGAGCACAAAUACUAUAUAUUUCUUUGCAAGCUGGCUUUUCAAGUUUCAACCUUUGUUCCAUGUCAUAAGAUUGCUUCACUUAUUUUGUAUUGUUUUUUAAUUUUCAACAUAGAAUCAGAUCCUCCCAGUGUCCUAUAAUAUAGCUGUCCUAUUUUCAAGCAUUGAUUCAUUAUUAAAAAGCUAUUGCGCCAUUAAGAAAGGCUUUCUGAUGGGCUGGAGCAAGAAAACAAAGAGAGCCAAAAACCAUGUUUCCUCCCACAACGGUGUCUUCUUCAACCUUGUUCUUUGGGGAACCACAAUCAGCAGUGAGAUGGAGUAACAGAUUUGGCAAGUAGGUGAAGAGAUUUGUCAAAUAUAAAGAGUUAUGUGAAAGGAACUGAUGAGACUCAAGGGCAAAAUAGACAAAUGGUGUUGUGUGCUUAUGUGGUAGAGAGACUCAAUUUCAAGAAGUUAGGAAUAGCCACUUAUUUCAUAAUCAAUUUUGAAUAUGGAAACGUACGACGACGGUAGAGUGUGGGAGGAGAACCAAAAAUGUUGAAAUCGCGUUUGAUAAGUAGAAAGCGCCUUUGAUUGUUUUCACUGGGUAACCAAACAAACACUUGAUAUGAAGGGGCAAGGGUGGAGGAUGUUCGACUUAGAGACCAAGAGGGGAUGGAUGAGCUUUUGAAUAAGUAAGUGUAGCUUCUGGAGGGGGUGAGUUAUGGUGAUUAUUCUAAUAAGUGGUUAUGGCGAAUGAUUAGUGAUGGUGAGUUCUCGGUAAAGUCGACUUAUGAUAUGUUGGAAGACUUGUUGUUGGAAGGUAGUAAGGGUGAUGUGGAGGAUAGAGUGUUCAAGGUGUUGUGGAAAAGUCCAGCUCAUCAAAAGUGAUUGCAUUUUCUUGAAAGCUUCUUCUUGAUCGUGCUCCGACUAGGUGAAAUUUGGCAAUGUGUGGUGUUAUAUCUCACAAGAGGAUUCUUCUAUGUGUUUUUUUUUUUUUUCGUCAAGGGCAGGAGGAAACUACUAGUCGUAUUUUCCUUUAUUGUGACUUAGUUUUAAAUUUAUGUUAUGAGAAGAGACACACAACGUAUCGUGCA